rnacentral:snRNA from 1 species
AGCUUUGCACAGUGGCAGUAUCAUACCAAUGAAGUUAAUCUGAGGUGUGAUUAUUGCUACUUGAAAAUCUGCUCCUUUCCUGGUGGUAGACGGUACAGUACUACUGGAAACAGCAGAAACUGUUACCAUCUCGCCUCUUUUUGUUACACUCACCAGU